CCAAAACAAAACAAAACACGUGCAGUUUGUUUUAAACGCAUAAUUUACAGAUGACAGCUCAGCGACAGACUCUUGAUGUGUUUAAACAGCACAUAUUGAAGUUCAGCAGCAAAAUAAAGCAGCAGAAUCUGUGAUAAAGUGCAGGAAUCAAGUGAAGAGACUCACCUGAUGAAGGAUGUGUUUGGAGAACAGAAGCAGAGCUCUGGGACAUUUGGACAGCCGUGGACUGUGAUGAUGGACUUCUGCUGAUGGACAGGAUGAAGGAUGUGUUUGGAGAACAGAAGCAGAGCUCUGGGACAUUUGGACAGCCGUGGACUGUGAUGAUGGACUUCUGCUGAUGGACAGUGUCCCGUUAACCAGAUGCUGAAAUACAGAGAUCAUUUGACGAAUAUAACCUCAACAUCAACAGCACUUAUGUUUCUAGUCCGUGUACCAUCAUCUCUGGUCCGUGUUUUUCAUGGUUGUGCAUCCAUCCUCCCUGUUUCCGUGGCAGCCAUUGUUCCGGUAUCCACCUCUUAUCUCUUACCGCCCCAGGUACCGCUUCACAUUUCUUCCAGUAUCCGCUUCUUGUCUCUUACCGUCACACCUUCUUUCCAGUAUCCGCCUCUUGUCUUGUACCGCCCCAGGUACUUCGCUGUGUCCACAGCUGUCUUUAGGUGGAUUCGAACCCACAUCUCAUCGGUAACCUUGUCCGCAACCAACGGUGCUUGCCACUAGUGCCAUUGUGGCUUUCACACUGGGAGCUGUACUUCGCGCAACUUUGUCUUUUCUUUUCACAACAGUUUAACAUAAAGAUGAAAGGGAUUCGAACCCCGGUCUCCAAGAUGAAAGCUGAGUGCUCUACCCACUGACCCGUUUGGUCUGUGUAGUGGAUUGUUGUCUUCAAUGGGGUUUUAUAGAUAUGUUUAUGGCGGAUACAUAAAAUUGUAUUGUUAGUGGGAUUCAAACCCAUAUAUAUGAAAUAGCAGAGAACAAACGUUUAUCCUCUAGGCCACAAAGGCAGCAACGAUUAGGAUGUGAUUGUUUAGAGAGUAAUUCUUGUUUUUACUUCAGUUUAAGUAUAAAUUAACGUUUACAUUUCACUUAGCAAGAAUGUGAUUCGAACCCACAUCUCUGCGAUCCCAAAAAUGCAAAGAGCAAAUAAUUAUCCUUUGCACCACAGAGGAAGUGAUGGUUCUUGCUGAUUGUUUUGACAGUAAUUCUUGUUUUUUCUUAGCUUAAGCAUUAAUAACAAUAUAUUUAGGCCUUUGCAAGAGUGGAAUUUGAACCCUCGUCUGUGCGUUUCAAAGAAUAAACAAAGUGAAUCAUUAUCCUCUGCACUACAGAGGCAGGAAUGAUUGCUGUAUGAUUGUUCUGAGAGUAAUUCUUGUUUUUAAUUACAAUAGAUUUCACUUUAGCAAUAGUGGGUUUCAAACCCACGUCUCUGCAAUCUAAAAAACACAAAGACUGUUUAUUUAUCCUCUGCCCCACAGAGGCAGCAAUGACUGGUGUGUGCCUUUUUUGAUAGUAAUGCGUGAAUUUCAUGCAGGUGAAUUAUAUUUUUGGGCUUGGAGCAGAGUCAGGUCUCGAGUACAGGUCAGCAGGAACACCACAGUGUUAUAAGACAACACACUAACCACUAGGCUAUGGGGACUGAGAUGAAGAAUCAUUCUGAUGGCUAAUUUAAUCAUAUCUCAAUCACAUCCUGAUCAUUUCUUUAAUUAACAGCUUCAGCUGAUUUCAAUUAAGACUGUAAGUUCACUCAGGAAAGUGGCUCAUCAGGAGCAGACACUGAUCUGAUCUCUUACAGCUCUCUGUUAUAAAUAAACCUGUCAUUAAAUGCCAACGAAUAUUUAGUGUUGAAAGUUGUGAACAUUCCCCAAGAGAGAUUUAAACACACGUUACACUAAGACACUAAUAGUCUCAGAAUAUCUUUUGUCCCCUGUGUUAUGCAUUUACAACAUAUCUGCUGGUUCAGCUCCUGAAGAAAUAUUGUAAAUUUAUUACUUAAGAUGGAUUUGAAGUUCAGGCUUAGCACAGAAACUUUUCAUACAUUUAUUUUGUCAGACUGUUCAUGACUCUUAUAUUGUAUCUUAUUAAGUUCAAGCCCAUUAUCUGUCUCCAUGUUGCACAUUUUCUGUAUUUCUGCUGUGUUCAAGUAAUUUUUUGAUUAUUUUUUAAUGUCACACGCACGCACAACUAUUAAUAAAGCAAAAUCAAAUGAAUGACCAAAUUAAAGAAUACCAAAUAAACUGAGAUAUUAUAAAAAUGCUUUAAUAACUUAAGAAAUGUAUUUUUCCACAUCCUCAGUUUCGUCUCAUAAAUGUUUUGUUUUUUUGUAAUUAUUUGAACAGCAGAGUUUGUCAAAUUUGCUCUGAAGCCUCUUGUUAUCUGAACGUCCUUCAUUAGCAGCCUCAGGUGUUUAUCAUCAGGUAACUCUGGAAAGUGGAUCUUCAGGAUCAGGAUUUUUCACCUUAAGAAAUAAAAAAAUACUUUGUACUCCAGUGUCAUGUAUUGAUGCAGAUCCUCUUAUUGACCACAAGAUGGAGCUGAAACUCUGAUUUCGUGCAUCUCUUUGUUACAAAUGAAACAGACUUGAAAUGAAAACACAUGUUUAAUCAAUAUAUAAUAGAUACUUUAUUUGUUCAAACAUGCGUAUGCACUCAGUAAGCAGUCAAACAUUGCUUUAAAUACCAACAGUGAUUCAACAGCAAAAAUAAGUGAACAUUACCCAAUCCAUGUGAAAAUAAAAUUGAGAAUAUACUAAAAUCACAGUUUAGUUCGCCAAUUUAUGAAUAUUAAUCUACAAUCUUCUCACUUAUGACUUGUCAAAGUUCUCCACAAUCUCCACUAGGCAGCGUGAGCAGCGUGACAGAUCCUGCAGUGACCAUAGCUAGCCAUUUUGUUUUUUAUUCAUUUUCAGGAAACGACAUCUUAUUAUCAACAAUUAAAUGUGAAUGGCGUCCUAUGCUGACAUUUAACUAACUUCCAUCCAGAUGCAUAUGCAUGCAGCAGACUGGAAACGCAAGCUGGUGUGAUAAGUUUCUCAUGCAAUGUAAUGUGUAUUUAUAUAGCGCAUUUUUCUGUAUGGCAAUACACCCAAACCACUUCACAAUCAUGAGGGAUCUCCGCACCACCACCAGAGUGCAGCACCCAUGAUGUGAUGAAAGCCACAGGAUAACGGCGCCAGUGCUUCACCACACACCAGCUAUAGGGGGAGUGGAGAGACAGUAAUAGAGCCAGUUCUGUAGAUGGGGAUGAUUGGGAGGCCAUGAUGGGUAAGGGCCGAUGGAGGGAAUUUAUCCAGGACACCGGGAUUACACCCCUACUCUUUAGAAAAAGAGUCAGGACCUCUGUUUAACGUCUCAUCCGAAGGACAGAUGUUGCUGCAUUUAAAGGUUCAAGAUUGGUGACUGGUAAAUUCACAUCACAUGAUUGUGUGAGAGAAAUAGAAGAUUAAAACAUGACAUCUCUGUACAGAAAUGUUAAAUAUGGGGCAGUCGCUCGCUUUAUCAUUCUCCAAUCCUCUUCUUUUAUCCCGCCUCUUUUCAGUGCCGUAUGACAGAAUCUCACAUGCUCAAACUCUAGUGACUGCAGCUUUACUGGUUGAAAUUCAGUUCAAUUCCUGAUAUUGCAUUUGCUUAACAGGAUAUGAAGUCUUGAUGUGAAGAAUGCUGAUUGUUGAUAUCUAGAGUUUAUAUCCAGAGAAUGAAUGAAGGUCAAAACAACUUGCUGAAACUUGCAACCUGAAAGUCAAAAGAACAAUGAGAGCUGUUAAUGUCACUCAAUGACACAAAGUUCAGUAAAGCAGCAAAUAAAACAGACACACAGUGCAGAUAAAAUGCAGAAUCAUGCGUCAUGCAACCCACCGGUAAGUAACUGUACUAUUAUUAGUGCAUAUGUUUUGCAUAAUCAUUCAAGUUUGAUUAAUUAUAUCGAGAUUAGAAGGUUUAUCAGACUUUGUUUACAUGCUACUUUCAUUGUUAGUCUAUUGAAAAAACAAACAAAUGAAUGUAGCGUUUAUUUUAAUGUAGAGUGUUUUAAGUCAGACAAAAUAGGAUUGAUGGUUGAAUCAUUUUACUAACACUUUUAAUUUACAGCUAUAGAAAAACUACUUGAAAAUGUAGAGUUUCUCUGAAUUGAUUAGAUACACGUUUUAAGAAAAAAUAUUACAACUUGUUUUUAUAUUUAUAUUGUUAAGGUCUGAAUAUAGAUUACACAUUUCAAUAUUAUUUAUAAUCAGUCAGAAUUAUAGAUGUGUUCAUUUGUCGUGA